rnacentral:rRNA from 1 species
AGCAGCCGCGGUAAUUCCAGCUCCAAUAGCGUAUAUUAAAGUUGUUGCAGUUAAAAAGCUCGUAGUUGAAUUUCGGGGUCAGUAGGUUGGUCGUGCCACUGGUAUGUACUGGCCUCACUGAUUCCUCCUUCCUGAUGAACCGUAAUGCCAUUAAUUUGGUGUUGCGGGGAAUCUGGACUGUUACUUUGAAAAAAUUAGAGUGUUUAAAGCAGGCUAACGCUUGAAUACAUUAGCAUGGAAUAAUGGAAUAGGACGUUCGAUCCUACUUUGUUGGUUUCUAGGAUUGACGUAAUGAUUAAUAGGGAUAGUUGGGGGCAUUAGUAUUCAAUUGUCAGAGGUGAAAUUCUUGGAUUUAUUGAAGACUAACUACUGCGAAAGCAUUUGCCAAGGAUGUUUUCAUUAAUCAAGAACGAAAGUUAGGGGAUCGAAGACGAUCAGAUACCGUCGUAGUCUUAACCAUAAACUAUGCCGACUAGGGAUCGGAUGAUGUUAAUUUUUUAAUGACUCAUUCGGCGCCUUACG